CCUACGGGGGGCUGCAGUAAGGAAUAUUGGUCAAUGGGCGCAAGCCUGAACCAGCCAUGCCGCGUGAAGGAUGACGGCCCUAUGGGUUGUAAACUUCUUUUGUACGGGAAAAAACCACCGGUCGUGAAUCGGUGCUGAUGGUCCCGUAAGAAUAAGCAUCGGCUAACUCCGUGCCAGCAGCCGCGGUAAUACGGAGGAUGCGAGCGUUUUGCGGAUUCAGUGGGCUUAGAGGGUACAAUAGCGGAGUGGUGAAAGCCUACAGCUUAACUGUAGAACUGCCAUUGAUACUGUUAUGCUUGAGUGUUGUUGAGGUAGGCGGAAUGUGUCAUGUAGCGGUGAAAUGCUUAGAUAUGACACAGAACACCGAUCGCGAAGGCAGCUUACCAAGCAACAACUGACGCUCAUGCACGAAAGCGUGGGGAUCAAACAGGAUUAGAUACCCUGGUAGUC
rnacentral:rRNA from 1 species